UGCUCACGUCGCUGCUAAUUAGCAUUUGUAAAAGAAAAGGGCAUUUUUACAUUCCUCCUCCUGGUAUGAGGCGAUAUCAAGAAGCGAGGGAGGCUUGUACCUGAAGCCUGAACACAGCAUGACGGCGCGCCGGCAGCCAGCCUGCAGGGGAAAUCAAAGCUGCGGAGGUGGAGGUGGAAGCUGAAGGCUAGUGAGCUCGAGAACGCUGAGAUUUAACACUAAGAGACACAUGGUGUUGGAAAACCCGGGGUUAUUAGAUCUCCUUAGCAAUGUGCUGAAGGAAGGAUGGUUUACAUGAGCCUGCUGGCACAGAUGGCACCAGUAACAGGGCUCCUCAAUCAGAAUCACUUCCACUGCAUUUAAUGUGAUUUAAAGAAUCUGAUCCAAAAAUAAAACGGUGACAAUGUGAGCUGUUUACAUAUUUA